UUGAACGCUGGCGGCAUGCUUUACACAUGCAAGUCGAACGGCAGCGGGGGCUUCGGCCUGCCGGCGAGUGGCGAACGGGUGAGUAAUGCAUCGGAACGUACCCAGUCGUGGGGGAUAACUACGCUAAAGCGUAGCUAAUACCGCCUACGCCCUGAGGUGGAAAGCGGGGGACCUUCGGGCCUCGCGCGAUUGGAGCGGCUGAUGUCGGAUUAGCUAGUUGGUGGGGUAAAGGCCUACCAAGGCGACGAUCCGUAGCUGGGCUGAGAGGAUGAGCAGCCACACUGGGACUGAGACACGGCCCAGACUCCUACGGGAGGCAGCAGGGGGGAAUUUUGGACAAUGGGCGCAAGCCUGAUCCAGCCAUGCCGCGUGAGUGAAGAAGGCCUGCGGGUUGUAAGGCUCUUUCAGACGGAAAGAAAGCGGGCGCGUGAAUAGCGUGCCUGGAUGACGGUACUGUCAGAAGAAGCACCGGCUAACUACGU
rnacentral:rRNA from 1 species